rnacentral:rRNA from 1 species
CCUACGGGUGGCAGCAGUAGGGAAUCUUCCACAAUGGACGAAAGUCUGAUGGAGCAACGCCGCGUGCGGGAAGAAGGGUCUAGGCUCGGAAAGCUCCGUUGGUAGGGAAGAAAGAUAGAGGUAGUAACUGGCCUUUAUUUGACGAUAAUUACUUAGAACGUCACGGCUAACUCCGUGCCAGCAGCCGCGGUAAUACGUAGGUGGCAAGCGUUGUCCGGAUUUAUUGGGCGUAAAGCGAGUGUAGGCGGUUCGAUAAGUCUGAUGUGAAAGGCUUCGGCUCAACCGGGGAAUUGCAUCAGAAACUGUUGGACUUGAGUGCAGAAGAGGCGAGUGGAACUCCAUGUGUAGCGGUGAAAUGCGUAGAUAUAUGGAAGAACACCAGUGGCGAAGGCGGCUCUCUAGUCUGCAACUGACGCUGAGGCUCGAAAGCAUGGGUAGCGAACAGGAUUAGAUACCCCUGUAGUC